GACGAACGCUGGCGGCGCGCUUAACACAUGCAAGUCGAGCGAGAACCAGUCCUUCGGGGCUGGGGACAGCGGCGAACGGGUGAGUAACACGUGGGUAAUCUGCCCUCGGCACCGGAAUAGCCCGGGGAAACCCGGAUUAAUGCCGGAUGGCCUCUCCGCCCCUCGGGGCGGCGAGAAAAGGUAGCUUCGGCCUCUGGCCGAGGAUGAGCACGCGGCCGAUUAGCUUGUUGGUGAGGUAACGGCUCACCAAGGCGACGCUCGGUAGGUGGUCUGAGAGGACGAUCAGCCACACUGGGACUGAGACACGGCCCAGACUCCUACGGGAGGCAGCAGUGGGGAAUCUUGCGCAAUGGGCGAAAGCCUGACGCAGCGACGCCGCGUGCGGGAAGAAGGCCUUCGGGUUGUAAACCGCUUUCAGGAGGGACGAAGCCACUCGGGUGAAUAGCCUAGAGGGUGACGGUACCUCCAGAAGAAGCCCCGGCUAACUACGUGCCAGCCGCCGCAGUAACAC
rnacentral:rRNA from 1 species